rnacentral:sRNA from 1 species
AUGCACGAAUUAUAUGCGAGAAACAACCAUCUAUUUUUCAGCUUUAAUUGCUGUAAAAAAAAGGACGGGUCAGUCAGCUUGUCAAUCCAGCGCCUUCUUGAGCAGCGGCAAAUCCUACCUUGCGGCGCACGGACACACAGGUUGACAUGAAACGAUGAACUCAUUCUGCUACAUGUAAGUGGCGUCCCCAUCCACUUGCUUCAUAUAGGUAAGACACCACGAAGAAGCAUCACGGACUGGUCCCAUGGUGGGAUUAAUUGGCAGCAGAUAUGCAAGUCCUAUCAAAGGAAGCGAACAAUUAUUACCAUGGCGUGGUGGAUAUGGGAAGCAAUGGCAUUCGCUUCUCAAUAUCGGACCUUACCCCACCAACGGCUAGAAUACUGCCCACACUCUUCCAGGAUCGUGCGUCCAUAUCCUUAUACGACGCCCAGCAUGAGAAUGGAAGCAUUCAAAGACGCCCAAUCUCGAAAAAAGUACAAAUGGAUGUUGUAGCAGCUCUUCUGCGAUUCAAGCAAACAUGUAUUGACUUUGGAGUCCCGCAAUCGAACAUCCAUAUAAUAGCUACGGAGGCCACUCGCACUGCGCCAAAUUCAGAGGAGUUUAGAGAUACAGUGACAAAAGCCACGGGCUGGAAAAUCCAAAUGCUUUCACCAGAAGAGGAAGGUAGGGUCGGAUCUCUCGGCAUAGCAAGCAGUCUUGGGGUAGUAGAGGGUCUCGUAAUGGAUCUGGGAGGGGGAAGUGUUCAGAUUACAUGGGUGUCACGAAAAGCGGAAGCGAAGCGUGGCUUCAGUUUCCCAUACGGUGCAGCAGCAUUGAUGCAGAAGUUAGAAGAGGCUAAGAAAAUCGGAAACGAGGCAUUGGAGAAGUUGGCGGAGGAAAUAACAUCUAGUUUUCGGCAGGCAUACAACAACCUCGACAUUCCAGAAGAUAUGAAGGAAGAUGCAAAGAAAAACGGUGGCUUUGAUCUCUACCUCAGCGGAGGCGGGUUCAGGGGCUGGGGCUACAUGCUCAUGAGCCAGUCAGAAAUAUCCCCAUACCCGAUCCAGAUCAUCAACGGCUUCAAGGUUUCUUUCUCGUCGUUCAAACAGACUGCCCCAACGGAGAUUCUGGCGGCUACGGAAGAGGUAGUGAAGAUAUUCCGCGUGUCAGACCGACGAAGAGCACAAGCCCCCGCAGUCGCGUUCCUCAUCCAUGCACUCACCCUCGCCCUCCCGAAAAUCAAAGAUGUCCGGUUCUGCCAAGGGGGCGUGCGCGAGGGCUUCCUGUUCGGCAAGCUGCCCAUGGAAACCCGCCUUCAGGAUCCCUUGGUCACGGCGACGUUGCCAUAUAAAACAGGAUCCGCGUCGCAGAUCGGCGAACUUAUUUUCCGCGCCCUACCAAAGCCCUCAACAAUCUCGGCGUUAAAGGAAUUCACCCCUCCGGCCCUUUUUAACUCCGAAUUCAUCUCCGCCGUUGCAAACAUCAUGCACACGCAAUCAUCCGCGACCAAAGAAACUCGCUCCUCCGCGGCCCUCCACUCCACCUCAACUGGCCUCCUGUGCUAUACGCACGGCUUAUCUCACGAGCGUCGCGCCGCCCUCGCACUUGUCCUCUAUGACAGCUGUGCCGGCGACCUCCCCUCUCAACACGAAUCAUUCCUCGCUCGUCUACGCCUCAUUCUCUCUAUUGAAGAGGCGUGGUGGUGUCGGUAUAUCGGACGCGUGACAGCAUUUGUCGGCGGUAUCUAUCCAGCCGGUUUAAUUCCCCCUCAGGGCCCGCGGAUUGGUCUUGAAGUGCGCUGCGUGGAUACUGGGCUUGGUAAGAAGGGAAAACUUCCUGGGAUUGAGUUGACAAUUAAAAUUUCUCAGAGGGGCGGUGGGCCCGGGAGCGGUAAUGGGGUUACUGAGGGUGCAUUUACGGAUGAGAACUUUUUGGCCGCGGGGGUCAGGCGGAUUGAGAAGAUUGGAAAGAGGAAGCACUGGCUUGAGAGGGAAAAGGGGCAGGAGCGCUUUGGUAUUAAGGUUGGGGUGAAGAUUGUGGAGGGCUUGUGGAAUAUGCGGACGUAACAUAAUUUGCUUGUUAUGUAUGGUAGGUAUUUUUUACUCACGGAUUUUCUACGGUAAGGAUUAUUUCUCGACUUAUUUAACGUUUUUUAUAUUUUAAUGUUUAAUUUUAUCAUAGAAUCCCCAGGACCUACAAGCAAGGGCUUUUCGGUUGGUCUCGGGCAGGGCUAUCUUACAAAGAGUAUGCUAAGUCAGGGGGGUUGGCCGUCUAGCCGCAGCGAUUUUUGUAUCAAAGUACCCAGUUGACUUCCGAAAGGGAGAAUGUAAUGUUUAAAAUUGGAAUGUGCAUGUCUUCUUUGGUUGGAAAGCUAUCUCUAGCAUAGCAUGUAAAUGAAUGAACUUUUGCCAU